rnacentral:rRNA from 1 species
CGCGUGAGAAUCUUCCUUCAGGUUAGGGACAACAGUUGGAAACGACUGCUAAUACCUAAUGUGCCGAGAGGUGAAAGUUUAAAUGCCUGAAGAUGAGCUCGCGUCUGAUUAGCUAGUAGGUGUGGUAAAGGCGCACCUAGGCGACGAUCAGUAACUGGUCUGAGAGGAUGAUCAGUCACACUGGAACUGAGACACGGUCCAGACUCCUACGGGAGGCAGCAGUGGGGAAUUUUCCGCAAUGGGCGAAAGCCUGACGGAGCAAUACCGCGUGAGGGAUGAAGGCUCUUGGGUCGUAAACCUCUUUUCUCAAGGAAGAUAAUGACGGUACUUGAGGAAUCAGCAUCGGCUAACUCCGUGCCAGCAGCCGCGGUAAUACGGAGGAUGCAAGCGUUAUCCGGAAUGAUUGGGCGUAAAGCGUCCGCAGGUGGUUUUGUAAGUCUGUUGUUAAAGCGUCAUGCUCAACAUGAUUACAGCAAUGGAAACUACAAGACUAGAGUGCGUUAGGGGUGAAGGGAAUUCCUGGUGUAGCGGUGAAAUGCGUAGAGAUCAGGAAGAACACCGGUGGCGAAGGCGCUUCACUAUGCCGCAACUGACACUGAGGGACGAAAGCUAGGGGAGCGAAUGGGAUUAG